rnacentral:lncRNA from 1 species
CUCAUACCGAAGGGUAGGACGGAGGUGGUUCAGGAAAACGGUCCCAUUUGGCACCUCAAGUCUAGGUCCCUCAAGUCUCUACAACAGUAUGCAAAGAAAAUGUUCAUCUUCAUUCUUCUUAUAGUUUUCUGGUAACUUACUGAACCAAGCGCACACACACUCUCCAAGGACAAACAUUUUUCAGUGCUGGGACAAUGCAAAUUCAGCUCUCGGCAGACUACUACACACUGUGCAUGAUAUACCAAGACUAAAAGACUCAUAACCUACCCGCAGAAAGAGUGCAUCUUCCAUAGUAGCUCUGCAAAAAGAUCCAAAAGAAACUGUUAAUGGCCUGGCUUAAGUCAAAUUGUGUCCGGAAUUGGUGGGUUCUUCGUCUCACUGACUUCAAGUAUGAAGCCGACCCUCGCGGUCAGUGUUACAGCUCUUAAGAUGGCGCCUGUGGAGUUUGUUCCUUCUGAUGUUCGGAUGUGUUCGGAGUUUCUUCCUUCUGGUGGGAUCGUGGUCUCGCUGGCUCAGGAGUGAAGCUGCAGACCUUCGCAGUGAGUGUUACAGCUCUUAAGGCGGCGCGUCUGCAGUUGUUCCUUUCUCCCGGUGGGUUCCUGGUCUUGCUGGCUUCAAGAGUGAAGCUGCAGACCUGCGUGUUGAGUGUUACAGCUCAUAAAGGCAGUGUGGA